UGGAAUGGCGGGAGGGAGGUCCUAAUGUAAGGUGACAGGAGAAUAUUUGACUUUGGGUGGUGGGAACAUGGUGCAAUAUACAGAUAUAGUA